UACGAAGGGGGCUAGCGUUGCUCGGAAUCACUGGGCGUAAAGGGUGCGUAGGCGGGUCUUUUAAGUCAGGGGUGAAAUCCUGGAGCUCAACUCCAGAACUGCCUUUGAUACUGAGGAUCUUGAGUUCGGGAGAGGUGAGUGGAACUGCGAGUGUGGAGGUGAAAUUCGUAGAUAUUCGCAAGAACACCAGUGGCGAAGGCGGCUCACUGGCCCGAUACUGACGCUGAGGUGCGAAAGCGUGGGGAGCAAACAGGG
rnacentral:rRNA from 1 species